UGUGUAGAGCGUACUGUUUCCGUGGCAACACCGCUGGUGCCGCCGCCUCGUGUGUUGUGCUGCCCAGCGAAUGGUUUCCUCGGCAACGAGCUGGCACGCAACUCCACUUCCGGGGUUUCUCGUCAAUGAGAUCACAAUGUCAUCUGCAAACAUCAUGGUCCACGGGGAUUCCAGUCUAACCUCAUCUGUCAUCCAUCACCACUGCAAACAGGAAGGGGCCCAGGGCUGAUCCUUGAUGCAGUCCCACCUCCACCUUCAAUUCGUCUGUCACACCUACAGCACACCUCACCACUGUUCUGCUGCCCUCGCAUCUUCUCACCCGCUAGAAUUCUGUUGAACAAGCUGGUGAAAAACUCCACAGCCACCUCUCCUAGGUGCUUCCAUACCUCCACAGGAAUGCUUGCAUUUCUUUUGGGAUGUGGGAGCAAACCGGAGUACCCGGAGAAAACCCACACGGGCACGGGGAGAACACUCAGUCGGGGCUGGGAUUUGAACCCCGGUCCUCAGAACUGUGAGGUGGAUGUGCUAACCAGUCGACCACUGUGCCGCCGCUGACUAUUUACUGUUUCACAAAUAAAUUUAAUAUUUCUGAAAGGUUUUUAUAUCAAUUGGUAUUUCACUAUGACAGAGAGGAAAAGAUUGACAACAUCCAACUACACACAUAACCUCUAAAAAUUCUAAAACCAUAACUGUAAAUAUUCAUUCAAUCAUUCAUCUUCCGUACCGCUUAUCCUCACUAGUCGCGGACAUGCUGGAGCCUAUCCUAGCUGACUCUAGGUGAGAGGCAAGGUACACCAGAACUGGUCGCCAGCUGGGCACAGAUAAACAAACAACCAUUCACACUCACGUUCACAUCUCCGUGGAGUUUAGAGAGUCUUCAGUUAACCUACCAAGCAUCUUUGUGGGAUGUGGGAGGAAACCUGAGUACUUGAAGAAAACCCAGGCAGGCACGGGGAUAACAUGAAAACUCCACACAGGCGAGGCUGGAUUUGAACCCGAGUCCUCAGAACUGUGAAGCAGACGUGCUAGCCAGUCGUCGACCGUGCCGCCAGUGUAAAUAUUUAUUUUGCAAAUAUCUUCUGUUUCAGCCUUCAUUGCAGAAAGACAAAAUGCUGGUUGUAAUGUCACGGCAAACAAUAGAGGGUUUUUUAAGGGUCAUUAGUUACCCCAAUAAGACAGGGUGGACAGCAAUUUCAGGGAUGCAAAAUGUUCAAAAUGAUUAUAAAAAUAGACAAUACAUGAUCAAAAUGACUUGUUUUAUCAAAUUACUUGUGGACAACAAAACCAUGUUUUAAAAAAAAAAAAAAAAGGUAUCAUUUUACCACUUGUUAGAUACCAUAGUUAGCAGAGGAGUGUGUGUGACAUGCCAAAAUCACGUAUAUCCCAUGGAAAAAAACGUACAAAAGGAAGCAAACACAUAUUAAGAGACUUAUCACUGUGCUAGUAUGUGUGCACCUAUAAUAAGACCUCAGAUUUUCAUUAUUCUGGUACAUUUUCAUGAUGACUGAGUUACAGUAUUCUGAUGAGGACACCAAAGGUCACUCAUAGUGAUAUUGACCCAACUUGUACUUAUACUAUGACAAGAAGUAAUGUUAAACUGUUAAUUAAAACAUUGCCUGUACAGUUAAAAAAGGUUCAAAGAUGAUGGCAGGUUCGACUCAGGAGCACAUUAUUCCAAAUAUAAUUGAUCUCAGAGGGAAAUGUAUUUUUUUUAAACUAGUAACUUGAACAGCACAGUAGAAAGGGCCUCUAAAAACAGGUUGCUCACUCGCACUUAACGAUUUCAUUGGCGGUCUGUAGCUACAGGAUGUUUAUAAGCACACUUGCGCACACACAAACAAGUUGAGCUUAAUGUGUUAAUGAAGUCAUCAAGUGAGUUUCAAGCACGCUGCUGUGGGGCAUUUGGUGUACAGCACGCAAGCAAGCACGGCUGACGACAGCAGGUUGAUAUUUGCGCUAUGACAAUAUCAUAUCUCUCCCGUCCGUCUGUGCGCAUCGACGCAUUCAGAAACACUUCAUUAGGUACACUUGCACAAUUAUACAAGAGCUGUAUU